rnacentral:rRNA from 1 species
GGAGCUUGCUUUAUAUAACUUAGCAGCGAACGGGUGAGUAACACGUAGAUAAUCUAUCCUAUACUGGGGGAUAGCCCGAUGAAAGUUGGAUUAAUACCGCAUAUAGCUAUAUAGUUGCAUGAUUAUGUAGUGAAAGAUUUAUUGGUAUAGGAGGAGUCUGCGGCACAUUAGCUAGUAGGUGAGGUAAAGGCUUACCUAGGCGACGAUGUGUAGCCGGUCUGAGAGGAUGAACGGCCACAAUGAAACUGAGACACGGUCCAUACUCCUACGGGAGGCAGCAGUGGGGAAUAUUGCACAAUGGGGGAAACCCUGAUGCAGCAACGCCGCGUGAGUGAAGAAGGUUUUCGGAUUGUAAAGCUCUGUUAGCAGGGAAGAGGAAGGACGGUACCUGCAGAGGAAGCCACGGCUAACUACGUGCCAGCAGCCGCGGUAAUACGUAGGUGGCAAGCGUUGUUCGGAAUAACUGGGCGUAAAGGAUGCGUAGGCGGUUAAACAAGUUAUAUGUUAAAUAUAUAGGCUUAACCUGUAGAAAGCAUAUAAAACUGUUUAACUAGAGUGCAGGAGAGGUAAGUGGAAUUCCUAGUGUAGCGGUGAAAUGCGUAGAGAUUAGGAAGAACACCAGUGGCGAAGGCGACUUACUGGACUGUAACUGACGCUGAGGCAUGAGAGCAUGGGGAGCAAACAGGAUUAGAUACCCUGGUAGUCCAUGCUGUAAACGAUGGGUACUAGGUGUGGGUUGUGAAUAACAAUUC